rfam:Picea glauca, whole genome shotgun sequence.
AGAACUAUUUAUUCAGCCAAGGAUGACUUGCCUACACCUUGUUACAGGUAUCUGCUAGUUAUGCCGAUAUUGAUUUCAGGUACCGGGUAAGUUGUCCUCGGCUAAAUAUUUGUCUCU